AUUGAUCUGGUAAGCUCAUGACAUGGAGGCCAUGUCACUAUAUUUACUCAAUGUCCAUUCAGGUGAACGCCUGCCGAGAAAAGAAGAAUUGGAGGCAUCAGGUCCAUGACUUUCACAGACACAAACAUAAAGGGGAGAGGACCUUCUACAAACUUAUCCAGCACACAGUCGCAGGGGAGCUGGAGCCUAUCCUGGCAAACAGUGGACGCAAGGCAGGAUACACCCUGGAUGGGACGCCAGUCAUAACAUCAUCACAGUAUUGUUCACUUAGCUGAGUCAAUAUGAAUUUUAAUUGGAUAAAAAACAAAUACUAUAAACGCUAAAUGGGAAUCACUGAGAUAUUGGAGGCUGUUUAUGUUAACACGCCAUUUAAACCUUCUAGACAAUGUAGGGAAACAAAAGGGCAAAGUGCAUUUAAAACUGAGAACAAAGGAUUGUGGGAGAAUGUUGUUGAUGUUGAUGGCUUCUUUUAAGAAAUGGCUGGAUGAGACCCUUGGAUCAAUUAACUGUGAACUUCCGAAAGGGCUAGGUGGAUCAAAUGACCUUUUCCUAUUUGUAGACUGUCUUUAUUUAGCUGUUUUAUCUCAUCUCAAGGCGUUAGUGAUUUUCAGAGACCUAUGAAACCUCCUGAGCUGACCAGAGUUUUGCACAGCGGCUGUAAAGCACCACUGUAAUGAAAGGAGACCUCGGCUUCUCACAGGCAGGCAGACAGGGAGGACUGGUGCUGGCUGAAAGGCAGUAUGCGGAUGUACUGCAGUAUUUCUCUUCCUGCUAUAAAAGAGAAAGUGUUGGUUGCAGGAACACAACCCCUCUGGCAGGCUCUCAGUGGACUUCUGCAGUAAUGGAGAUUAAUCUGAAAAAGUGCUGAUGUCAGAGCUGAUGGAGUUUACAGAACCCACAGCAAACCUACUGCACAACCUACUGCAAACCACGUUUUCCAGUGUGUAUGUAGUGGGGGAGGGGCCAUAAGAAAGCUGCUUGUCAUUGUUAUUGUUAUGUCAUUGCAAAAAGGAUUACGAUUAAGCUAUUGCAUAAACCUGCACAUUUCCUAAAUAGGAUUGCUGAUAGAGUUUUGCUGACGUCAUUCUGUCAGAUUUUGAGGAAAAAAAGCAAAUGUAACCCUCCCAUCAAUGAAUUUUCAUUUGUACCU